ensembl:lncRNA
CUGAGUAUCCUGAAGCCCUCAGUACUAAAAUUAUCACCCUCAAUGCCUUCUGUUGCUCAGCCCUUCUCUGAGGGCAUCCCAGCCCAUUUGUUGCCUCCUAGGAAGCUUAUUUGUCUCUCUACUUUGGGCAAAAACUUCUGCUCUCAGUGAAGCCUCACUCCAGCUCUCAGGUUUCUUCAAAAAGGCAUUGGUAAGGGAAAACCAAACAAAUCAGCAGUGGCCCAGUUCACCUCCAGAAGAACCCCACCUGGCUGCUUCUCCCUGCACCGUGAUCCACAUUAAAAACUCGUGUAAUUGUAGAAUCAAGUCAUUCUUUAUUCCACGCAGGCAGUGCGCCUGAGUCACGCGGCCAUGCCUGUCACAAGCGGCAGAGCCGGGAUGGGAUGCAGAGGCACAAACAAUCCCUCUGUACUGUAUGAUAAUCAACAAAAAUUAGCUGCCUAAGGGAACCAGGAAACUCUGCCAUGAAUGCAGCAGUUAGAGACUGAGCCUAUUUAUUUAACAGGUGUCCCCUGAGCUGGGAUGCCAGACUCUGUUUGCCAAAUUUGCGGAGAGAGGAAGACAGCUUGAAUAAAUACGGGCAAGAGGAGAACAGUCCUCAAGCCAUUUUCUUUGGGAUUGUUGUGUUGUUCCGGCUUUUUUUUUUUUUUUUUCCCCAGCAACUUUUUAUUGUAAGAAAGUCUAUCCUAGCCCUUGGCUGGGAGUAUUUAGACAGCAGGAGUUGUGCCAAAAUCCAGUUUCCCUCCUUGUUAUGGUGCAGAGUCCAGCUCAGCCACAAAGCAAAGUUAGCUCUGCUGGAUGGCUUCGUGAUUGGUUUGUUUGUUCAGUUUAAUUAAAAUACAGUAUGGGGUACAUUUUGGAUGAGAACCCAUCCCAGGCUGUCAGGGACCAAGAGCCAACAACAGCUGUGCUGAAAUGAUCUCCUUCCCCAUUCCUGUGCAGUGGAAACACGAGUUUCCGUGUCUGGUGCUGCAGCACCGAGAGGCCCUGGAUUGUAUCCGAUGUCACAGCACGAAACAUUCCACACAGAGCAUCUGGGUGCUCCUCAUUCAAUUUCUGGAGUGUUUUCACACAGUCUGGAGGAAAGGAAUAGAGAAGGACAUUGAGGAACUGCUUCAUGCCAGAAAGCCAAUGCAAGAGGAAUCAGCAGACUCAUGGAGAGGGGCCUGCAGCAGCCCUGCCUGGCAACAGAAGCUGAAGGCAGCGAGUAAACAAUCUGCUCAUCUGGCAAAAAAUGCACAGAGAACAUCCCAGACAACCACACCAAAAACUCUGCUUCCCAUGAUGGAGAUGUUGCAGGCAAUCAAUCUCAGUAUUUUGUAGUCCUGACCACUGGAAAAUCUCUCCUGAUAUCAGAGAAUCAUAAAUUGGAAAAUUGGAAAAGAUUUCUGAGUCCCACUUUUGACCCAUUCCCCACUUUGUCACCCAGCCCAGAGCUCUGAGUGCCAUGUCCAGUUGUUCCUUGGACACCUCCAGGGAUGGGAUGCCUCACUGGACAGCCCCUUCCAAUGCUUAUCAACCCUUUCCAUGAAGAAAUUCCUCCUUAUGUUCAACUUGAACAUCCUCUAGCACGAUUUGAGGCCAUUUCCUCUUGCUUAUUCUGGAAGCAGAGCCUGACCCCUUGUCCUGGCUGCCCCCUCCUGUCAGGGAGUUCUGCAGAGACAGAAGUUCCCUCCUGAACCUCCUUUUCUCCAGGCUGAGCCCCUUUCCCAGCUCCCUCCACUGCUCAAAAAAUCCAACACCCCCUUCCCCACAGCAGAUUAAACUUUUCCCCUGGAUUUUUCUCCCGUGAUUGAACAACCCUUCACAGAUUUGAACAGCACUGCUUCAGCCCUCUGAAGGAGAUAAUGAUUUUAAUAUUUCCCCACAGGUAGUUUUUCCCUGUUGGCCACUCUUUUGGUUCCCACUAGGUAUUCCUGAAGUAGGACAAAUCUUUCUGGAAAUGGAGUGCCCCACUUUACAUAAUCUCUUCCAAGUGAGGAGCUCCCAGGGGUGAGCAGAGCAUCUCUGGCAGGUUACACAGCCUAGAACUGUGCUCAUCUUUUUCAUGGCAGCCCAGUGUGUUGAUUUGGGGGCAGGCUGUGAUUCAUUACAGCCUCCAGAUGCGGGUUUAUUUCUUUUUAUUUUUUUCUGAGAGCUGAUGUCUGAUCAGUUGUUCCCAGCCCUGAAAUUAAUUAGGAAAUUACUGAAGUUAAACUUCCUGACUAAGGCCAUGCUGGAAUGAAACCGGGCUAUUGGGUGAGUGUAGGAACAUUUGUUUCCUUGCUAUAAAUUUUACCAUCAUGAUCAAAACCUGAAUCUUCCUUGCCCAGUCACUGAUAAC